UACAGAGGUCUCGAGCGUUGUUCGGAUUCAUUGGGCGUAAAGGGUGCGUAGGUGGCGCUGUAAGUCGGGUGUGAAAUCCUGAGGCUUAACCUCGGAACUGCAUUCGAUACUGCGGCGCUUGAGGACUGGAGAGGAGACUGGAAUUCAUGGUGUAGCAGUGAAAUGCGUAGAGAUCAUGAGGAAGACCGAUGGCGAAAGCAGCUCUCUGGGACGGUACUGACGCUGAGGCGCGAAAGCGUGGGGAGCGAACAGG
rnacentral:rRNA from 1 species